UAAGCAUUGCUAGAGUGCUUUGAACGGGUACAUAUGUGCAGCAUCGGGCAGUGGGCGCAGUGCCUCCUUCGUUUCACACGAAGGACCCUGAAAACGGAAGAACGCCAACGAUACAUGGCCACCGCCGGAGCUGGCUCCCUCAUUUCUAUGGAUGAGCAUGACAACUGCUCAAAACACAACCAAAGCCAUCAAGGAUUUCAUCAGGGGAAGAAAGGAGAAAAAUCUUAAGACUGUCCACGUUAGUCUCUGAUUUAAAAUCCAAAUGAGCAGCAUUUUACACGCUGAAGAAAAACUUGAAAUCAGAACACUCCCAACUAUCAAAGAAAUCUCACACAGCAAAGUUCACGUAAAGAUUUCAGAAUGAUGGCACAAAGACUUUGGUGAGGUGAUUACAUCACAGAUUCCAUGUAAUGAUUGCCUCAAAGGGAUAUCUAACCAAAUACUGACUUUAACAAUCAGAAUUCCAUUUUAAGUGAAUUUGUCCCAAUACUUACAGUUACG